rnacentral:rRNA from 1 species
CAGUCGACGAUGAAGCCCUUCGGGGUGGAUUAGUGGCGAACGGGUGAGUAACACGUGGGCAAUCUGCCCUGCACUCUGGGACAAGCCCUGGAAACGGGGUCUAAUACCGGAUACCACUCCCGCAGGCAUCUGCGGGGGUUGAAAGCUCCGGCGGUGCAGGAUGAGCCCGCGGCCUAUCAGCUGGUUGGUGAGGUAACGGCUCACCAAGGCGACGACGGGUAGCCGGCCUGAGAGGGCGACCGGCCACACUGGGACUGAGACACGGCCCAGACUCCUACGGGAGGCAGCAGUGGGGAAUAUUGCACAAUGGGCGCAAGCCUGAUGCAGCGACGCCGCGUGAGGGAUGACGGCCUUCGGGUUGUAAACCUCUUUCAGCAGGGAAGAAGCGCAAGUGACGGUACCUGCAGAAGAAGCGCCGGCUAACUACGUGCCAGCAGCCGCGGUAAUACGUAGGGCGCGAGCGUUGUCCGGAAUUAUUGGGCGUAAAGAGCUCGUAGGCGGCUUGUCACGUCGGGUGUGAAAGCCCGGGGCUUAACCCCGGGUCUGCAUUCGAUACGGGCUAGCUAGAGUGUGGUAGGGGAGAUCGGAAUUCCUGGUGUA